AUGGAUUCUGACGAGGCACCUGAACCUGAACGGAUUCACGCAACUGGAGCAGGCUCAAAUGCUGGAGACGAGCAGUUCGUGUGGCCCUGGAUGGGCGUGCUGCUCAAUGUGCCUACUGAGUGGAUGGGUGGGUGGAGAGAUGGGGGGAUGCGGCGAGGUGGGAUCCUGAAGGAGCGGCUCUUGCGCUUCUGCCCGCAUAUGGUCAUCCCUCUGGGCGACCAAUUCGGCCACCACACUGGGAUUGCCAUUGUGUUGUUUGGACAAGACUAUGCUUGUCUCGGCAAAGCCUUGGACUUUGAGAACCACUUCGAGGCACAAGGGCGUGGCAAACGGGGCUGGGAGGCGCACACCUUCCGACCACUGCCAGGGGAGAUAUUCGGAUGGGUUGCCCUGGCUUAUGAUUGGAGGACUGCAGGGCUCACUGGGGAGUUCCUGCGAAGCCAUGGUGGUCUGAAAACUAUUGCACAACUGGAGUCCAAGAUGCAAUCUGAGAUGCAGAAGCUUGCUCUGCUGCUUAGCACAAGGAGAAGAAAAUGUCACAUCUGUUACUCGAUACUGCAGUUCCAGCAGAAACCGGAUGCCACAGGGAACCUUGAGUUUGAAAUAAAGCAGCUGAAGGGACAGUUGGAAGUGAUGAAGCAGAAAGACUCUGAAUCAAAGAGGAAAAUAGAUGAACUUAAUAAGGAGCUACAAGAGAAGGAUGAUAAAAUAGAAUACAUGGAAUCAAUCCAUGGGAUUCUGGUUACGAAGGACCUGAAGAGCAAUGAUGAGUUGCAAGAUGCUUGGAAGAAGCUAAUAAAGGGCUUGGGGGAUGUUACAAGUUGCCGGACAAAUGUCGGCAUUAAAAGAAUGGGUGAUCUUGAUUCACGUUCAUUUGCCAAUGCUUGCAAACAUAAGAUGUCAGAAAUUGAGGCUACCAUUCUUUGUUCAGAGUGGGAGGAUGAGAUUAAAAAUCCACAGUGGCACCCUUUUAAAGUUGUCCCUGAUGACGGCAAAGGCAAACAGAAGCUAAUUCUUCUCGAGGACGAUGAGAAGCUGGGAAAACUGAAAGAAAAGUGUGGCGAAGACGCGUACGCGUUGGUGGUCGGUGCUCUGCGUGAUAUCAAUGAGUAUAACCCUAGCGGCCGAACCACCGUGCCUGUGCUGUGGAACAACAAGGAGGAUAGGGAAGCGACCUUGGGGGACGGCAUCGGGUACCUCCUCCAGCGGUGCGGCCUUAACAUUGCUUGGCAUUGA
rnacentral:rRNA from 1 species